AGUGAACGCUGGCGGUAGGCCUAACACAUGCAAGUCGAACGGCAGCACAGGAGAGCUUGCUCUCUGGGUGGCGAGUGGCGGACGGGUGAGGAAUACAUCGGAAUCUACCUUUUCGUGGGGGAUAACGUAGGGAAACUUACGCUAAUCCCGCAUACGACCUACGGGUGAAAGUGGGGGACCGCAAGGCCUCACGCGAUUAGAUGAGCCGAUGUCCGAUUAGCUAGUUGGCGGGGUAAUGGCCCACCAAGGCGACGAUCGGUAGCUGGUCUGAGAGGAUGAUCAGCCACACUGGAACUGAGACACGGUCCAGACUCCUACGGGAGGCAGCAGUGGGGAAUAUUGGACAAUGGGCGCAAGCCUGAUCCAGCCAUACCGCGUGGGUGAAGAAGGCCUUCGGGUUGUAAAGCCCUUUUGUUGGGAAAGAAAUCCUGUCGAUUAAUACUCGGUGGGGAUGACGGUACCCAAAGAAUAAGCACCGGCUAACUUCGUGCCAGCCGCCGCGGUAA
rnacentral:rRNA from 1 species